rnacentral:rRNA from 1 species
UGAAUUAUUCACCCUUGUCUUUUGCGUACUUCUUGUUUCCUUGGUGGGUUCGCCCACCACUAGGACAAACAUAAACCUUUUGUAAUUGCAAUCAGCGUCAGUAACAAAUUAAUAAUUACAACUUUCAACAACGGAUCUCUUGGUUCUGGCAUCGAUGAAGAACGCAGCGAAAUGCGAUAAGUAGUGUGAAUUGCAGAAUUCAGUGAAUCAUCGAAUCUUUGAACGCACAUUGCGCCCUUUGGUAUUCCAAAGGGCAUGCCUGUUCGAGCGUCAUUUGUACCCUCAAGCUUUGCUUGGUGUUGGGCGUCUUGUCUCUAGCUUUGCUGGAGACUCGCCUUAAAGUAAUUGGCAGCCGGCCUACUGGUUUCGGAGCGCAGCACAGGGCGCACUCUCUAUCAGCAAAGGUCUAGCAUCCAUUAAGCCUUUUUUUCAACUUUUGACCUCGGAUCAGGUAAGGGUACCCGCUGAACUUAAGCAUAUCAAUAAGCGGAGGAAAUA